rnacentral:rRNA from 1 species
UACGUAGGGUGCGAGCGUUAAUCGGAUUUACUGGGCGUAAAGCGUCCGCAGGCGGCCCGUUAAGACAGGUGUGAAAUCCCUGGGCUCAACCUAGGAAUUGCGCUUGUGACUGGCGGGCUCGAGUACGGUAGAGGGGGGUGGAAUUCCUGGUGUAGCAGUGAAAUGCGUAGAGAUCAGGAGGAACACCGAUGGCGAAGGCAGCCCCCUGGGCCUGUACUGACGCUCAUGCACGAAAGCGUGGGGAGCAAACAGG